rnacentral:rRNA from 1 species
AUUGAACGCUGGCGGCAUGCUUUACACAUGCAAGUCGAACGGUAACAGGCCGCAAGGUGCUGACGAGUGGCGAACGGGUGAGUAAUGCAUCGGAACGUGCCCAGUCGUGGGGGAUAACGCAGCGAAAGCUGCGCUAAUACAGCAUACGAUCUAUGGAUGAAAGCGGGGGACCGUCAGGCCUCGCGCGAUUGGAGCGGCCGAUGUCAGAUUAGGUAGUUGGUGGGGUAAAGGCCCACCAAGCCAACGAUCUGAAGCUGGUCUGGUGGGACGACCAGCCACACGGGGACUGAGACACGACCCAGACUCCUACGGGAGGCAGCAGGGGGAAAUUUUGGACAAUGGGCGCAAGCCUGAGCCAGCAAUGCCGCUUGCAGUAAGAAGGCCUUCGGGUUGUAAACUGCUUUUGUACGGAACGAAACGGUCCGGGUUAAUACCCUGGGCUAAUGACGGUACCGUAAGAAUAAGCACCGGCUAACUACGUGCCAGCCGCCGCUGUAAAAC